rnacentral:rRNA from 1 species
CAGCAGCCGCGGGAACACGUAGGGUGCAAGCGUUAAUCGGAAUUACUGGGCGUAAAGCGUGCGCAGGCGGUGUUGUAAGACUGAUGUGAAAUCCCCGGGCUCAACCUGGGAACUGCAUUGGUGACUGCAACGCUAGAGUAUGGCAGAGGGGGGUGGAAUUCCGCGUGUAGCAGUGAAAUGCGUAGAUAUGCGGAGGAACACCGAUGGCGAAGGCAGCCCCCUGGGCCAAUACUGACGCUCAUGCACGAAAGCGUGGGGAGCAAACAGGAUUAGAUACCCCCGUAGUCCCUGUCUCUUAUAC